UGAGUGCUCUUUUGACAGUUUCUUUUUUGCUUUUGUUGGAGAUUUUACAGUUUCAAUAUACCUUGGUGAAAGGUCCCGAAGUGUGGCCACAUUCAAGAAGUUUUGAGUUGUGGAUUCUUCAUCCAUGUCUGUAUCUCCAAUCCUUGUCUGAGCAGCUUGGUAUUGAGCUUCUUCUGGAUCUUUUGUUGCGACAACUUCAAAUGUCCUGUUUGUAAUGAUCACAUUGUUUUCCUGAAUAGGAAAUUCUGAUGUAGUUUCUUCUGUAUCAUUGGUGAUCAGCUGCCGCGAAUUUCCUCCUGCAUCAAUGACGUUGAUUGUCGCUAUUGUAUCGUUUGCCACUGAAUUUGCAUUUUCAGGUAUGAUCGGAACAGCAUUUGUAUUGACAUUAUUAUUGACCCUUUGGUCAUCAUUUUCCACUUCAUUUCCACCUAUUUCAUCAUCACUUUGCAUCGUAUCCGGAAUCUGACCGUCUUCUAAGACUUCCUCUCUUUGGUCGGCCCAUAAUCUGCCUGGUAUCCAUUUUUCUUUUUGGUUGGCUUUGAAUUUGAAAUAAUCAGGAUCUUCCACUACUUCAGUUUCAAUAUUGUUAGGGAUUUGUUGAUCAUCUUUGAUGCCUUGUGAAUGAAGUUGUCUAUUUACAUUGUUGGCUUGAUCUGUAUUAUUUUUGAAGGCCUCCUUAACCCAAUGAGCAGUUGAUACAUUUUGAGAACCUUGUUCUUUCCCCACCUGUUGUGCAUUUGUGUUUUGCAGGCUUAGUUUCUUUGCUUGGUUGGUGGCUGGUUUUUUCUUUGAAGAGCUAGGAGCAUCUUGUUGAUGUACCACAUUUUCCACGUCUGAUGUGGAGAUAUCUUUGUUGGUUGUGUUUUUUGAAACUGGGGAUUCUUCUAUCACAGCCAGUUGGUUACCAGGAACCUCUUCAUUGCAUUCCUUUUGUAAGGCUGCGAAUUGGUUGUUAGUGUGGAU
rnacentral:lncRNA from 1 species